rnacentral:misc_RNA from 1 species
AGCUUUUGAACCUGGAUAAUAGCAUGUGGAAAGAGAUGCUGGAUCACUGCAGGAGCUCUCCGGCUUCUCAGCCACAAGCCAAAUGUUUUGAAAAGUUGGACGAGAAUGGAAUGCUACAAACUUCGUCAGGAAGUGAACCAAUAGAAGCAAUAAAAAGCGAUAGGUGGCCUAUAAUUGGUGGAAAGGAAGCUCUGAAAUGUUCUGUGACAAAUCUUAAGCAAGUCGACGAUUUCAAGUAUAUUGGAUGUGCACAAAUAAAUGUUUUUGGAUCCUAUCCUGACCAGUGUACAACAAUAUUUGACCAAGAUCAGAUUGGAAUUUCUUCUGAAACUAAUAUGAGCUUAACAAUUGUCCAGAAGCAGAAAUUUACUAUUCAUGAUAUAUCUCCUGAUUGGGGUUAUGCAUCUGAUGCAACAAAGGUAGUUAUAAUUGGAUCGUAUCUCUGCAAUCCAUCAGAGUACACGUGGACUUGUAUGUUUGGUGAUACUGAAGUUCCUGUUCAGAUCAUUAAGGACGGUGCCAUCCGCUGCCAGGCGCCUCCUCACUUGCCAGGUAAAGUCGCACUUUGUGUUACUACUGGCAAUAGGACACCUUGCAGUGAAGUAAGAGAGUUUGAAUACCGUGCUAAGUUUGAUGAUCGUGGUCAAAAUGUCGUACCUGAAGUCGGAGGAGCUUCUAAGAGUU